GUAUACAGCCACACCAUGCUGAACAUGCCCAAUCUUGUCUGAUUUCGGAAGCUAAGCAGGGUCGGGCCUGGUUAAUACUUGGAUGGCAGAAAGAAUACUCUAGUUAGGCCUUGUUGCUGCCUAGG
ensembl:rRNA 5S_rRNA 5S ribosomal RNA